UACAGAGGGUGCGAGCGUUGUUCGGAAUUAUUGGGCGUAAAGGGCGCGUAGGCGGUGCUGUAAGUCACCUGUGAAAUCUCCUGGCUCAACUGGGAGCUUGCAGGCGAAACUGCCGUGCUGGAGUGUGGGAGAGGUGCGUGGAAUUCCUGGUGUAGCGGUGAAAUGCGUAGAUAUCAGGAGGAACACCUGUGGCGAAAGCGGCGCACUGGACCACAACUGACGCUGAGGCGCGAAAGCUAGGGGAGCAAACAGG
rnacentral:rRNA from 1 species